rnacentral:rRNA from 1 species
UACGUAGGGUGCGAGCGUUGUCCGGAAUUAUUGGGCGUAAAGAGCUCGUAGGCGGUCUGUCGCGUCGGUCGUGAAAACUUGGGGCUUAACCCUGAGCUUGCGGUCGAUACGGGCAUGACUGGAGUUCGGCAGGGGAGACUGGAAUUCCUGGUGUAGCGGUGAAAUGCGCAGAUAUCAGGAGGAACACCGGUGGCGAAGGCGG